CUGAGUGUGGCUCAGUGGUAGAGCACAUGCUUAACAUGUGUGAUGCUCUGGGUUCAAGCCCUAGACACAUAUA
rnacentral:tRNA from 1 species